UCCAGGGUAGCCUAGUGGACAUGGCAUCUGCCAGGUAAGCGGAACGUUGUGGGUUCGAUUCCCGCCCCUGGAC